rnacentral:rRNA from 1 species
UACGUAGGGGGCAAGCGUUGUCCGGAAUCAUUGGGCGUAAAGAGCGUGUAGGCGGCCACUUAAGUCCUGCGUGAAAUCCUGCGGCUCAACCGCAGGCGGUCGUGGGAAACUGGGUGGCUAGAGUGCGGGAGAGGAGAGUGGAAUUCCUGGUGUAGCGGUGGAAUGCGCAGAUAUCAGGAAGAACACCCGUGGCGAAGGCGGCAUCCUGGACCAAUUCUGACACUGAGGAGCGAAAGCCAGGGGAGCAAACGGG